rnacentral:rRNA from 1 species
UACGGAGGGUGCAAGCGUUAUCCGGAUUUACUGGGUUUAAAGGGUGUGUAGGCGGGCUAUUAAGUCAGUGGUGAAAUCUCCGGGCUCAACCCGGAAACUGCCAUUGAUACUAUUAGUCUUGAAUUUUGUUGAGGUAGGCGGAAUAAGUCAUGUAGCGGUGAAAUGCAUAGAUAUGACUUAGAACACCAAUUGCGAAGGCAGCUUACUAAGCAAAUAUUGACGCUGAGGCACGAAAAGCGUGGGGAUCAAACAGG